CUCCACUGCUACCACCAUCUUGCCUGACCCAUUGCUGCCAAACGCCAUGCCAAGUAGCUGAAUGUCUGUGCCACCUGCUGGUCAAAGAUAGUUACUGCAUCUGGAGUAAAAAUCAGGUAAAAUUAUGGCAGAAUAUUUAUCAUUUGCUAAAAUUGGUAUUAUUUUUGCUUAUUAUAUGAAUUCAGUGUUUGAGGAGGAUGGUAAUCUGCCAAUUACCAGCCUAUAUGCCGUAAUGGCAGUUAGCUUGCUGGUACAAAUAAUAUUACUAGCCAGAGGGCUCAGGAACAGGGAUAAGGAUAACCUAACCACCUGCUUACAGGAAAUAACAGCUUUACACAAUGAGGUUUUGGAGAACAGAUUAGGUCAGACCACAAUUGUGCAGCAAGUAGAACAGAAAUUGGAUGAUAAGCUUGGCUCUGUGUCCAAUACGCUAAAGACAGAGCUGUCUGUUAUCCAAGAUGAGAUGCAGUGUAUUUAUGAUAAGAUAAACACAGAGAGACCCUCCAUGUCUGAGGCCUUAGAGGCUAGGCUGUCAGAAGACCGUGACGAGCUAAAGAAUAUCUGUAGCCAGCUAGAAACUCAGAUAGGCACUAUUACCCAGAAACUAGAUGCAAAGGUGCAGAAUACCCAGGAUAGGGUUAAAGAAUUGGACAAUGCCAUUCAAUCAAUUAUUGAAGCAUCUAAGGUAGUAGAUCACAAAUUUGAGUCUAGAUUUGAAUGUUUGGAAAAUAAUUUACAGUACAGGGCUGACAGAUUACAUAGGUCCAUACGGUCGAUUGCUGAGGACUCAAAAUCAGCAAAUCAUGACCUCGAAUCUAGACUCCAAUACCUAGAAGGCAGUUUCCAUGCCAUCCAGAUGCUGCCUAAGGAUGAUCGUAUUAAAGACCUAGAAAAACAUGUAGAGGAGCAGUUAGAGAAAUUUACAGAUUCACUAACAUGCUUGGAAUCUUUUAUGAUUAAGGAGAUUGAAACUUUUCAUAAGGAUAUCAUUACUAGGCUUAAAGAUCAUUGGGAUGCCUCAGAGGCAGAAUCACUCCAAUCUGAGGCACCUACUCCACCCAGGUAUCAUGACUAUUCCUCUAAGGUUGUUACUUGUACACCUAGUAUACCCAGCUACCAUGGUAGAAAAGCCAGCUUCUAAGAAACACCCUCAUGGACGGAUGGCUUAUGAAUGGCAACCUAUACAGCUGAAGGAUCUUAAGAAUAUUAAAGAAUCAGUUGUCUCAUAUGGUCUCCAUAGCCCAUACAUAAAACAGCUAUUACAUUCAUAGGCACCCUUUAACAGGGUGACACCCACAGAUUGGGAAUGAUUGGUAGCAGCUGUACUUAAGAAUUCAUGCCAAAUCCAGGGGAAGUCAUUGGUGAGAGAAGAGGCGAAGCUCCUUGAGUGUCAGGGCAUAAAGGAAGGUUUUGAAGCCCCCUAGAUAAGAUUCUUAGUGAGGGUAUUUAUGCUAACCCAGAGGCUCAGGCUGAAUAUGAGGACGAUAUACUGUCCCUAUGCAGGAAAGCAG
rnacentral:lncRNA from 1 species